CGCAGGUUGUAUCUCGAAAAUAUCAAAAAAUUCUCUUGUAAGUUAGAAGCUCAUACAAUAAAUUUGUUACUUCACGCCCUUAAAUUUGUUUUUCCAUUGAACACUAGGAAAACAGAACUAUAAUUCAUGAUCUCGAGAACAAACUGGAUGUACUUACUAAGAAGCUUAGCCUUGCCAAUGACGAGAAAGCGAAUAACGAGGCAGAAAUUGAAGAUAUCUUCAAGGCCCACGACGAGCUUGAAAUCAAGUACAACGACGAAGUUCGAGAGAAAAAGGAAUUACUUGAAUACGUAGAAAGACUCCACGAAGAGCAGGAAGACCUUCAGGCACAAUACGGUGCUUUGUCCAAAGAACAUAAGGUUUGAUAUUUAUCAAAUCAUGUACAUACAGUUACAAUGAACGUUUAUUCCGAUCAUAAUCCAUAUGUCCAACCUUGCCACAAUCCAUCUAAUCAUCCAGGGGGCGAGGGCAUCCAGUCAGC